rnacentral:lncRNA from 1 species
GUCCUCUGAGAACUGGGAAUUCUCAUAAGAAAUUAGCUGUUUAAAUUAAACUAAAUUAAUUAGGAGCUCAGUGUGGAAAGGAGAGCUCCAUCUUUUUCCCUGAAGCCAGAGAAGAAUUCAAAGAAGAUGAUGAAUGGAAAAGAAAGAAUUUCAGGGACCUGCUGACAUUUCUUAAGCCACAAUCAAAACAGCAGGUCUGUAACGCCUUUCAGAAAGAAAAAUUACAUAACGCAAAUACACUGAGGCAGGAUUACAGCCCUUUUGCUGAGAAAUGUCCCUCAUCCCUACCCACGACAAUGCAGACACCUACUAGCCUCUUAACAUCACAGGCAGAGAUGGACAAAUGUGGAAGAAGGUUGACUUUAACACUGCCUAGGUGAAAACUGUUUACACUCAGGUUUGGAGGCAAGUCCAAGCACUUUUUGUGGUUUUUGUCCCUAUCAGCUUGUUGCUGUCAGUUCCAAACUUCAACUGCCCUUCAGCUGCCCUUGCUUUUUUUCUUGCUUCUUCCCCCAUACACCAACACUCUGUUUUCAAUUUUGAUCUGAUGAAGGUAAAUUUUUACCUGAAAAAGUUAUUUUUGACUGGACACAAGGCAAAGCUGGGGAAAAUCCCAAGACAAAUAAAAAUCCCUGUCAUCCUUUUGUGGAACAAGCACAAAGGCCAGAUUUUGAAUUGACUUAAUUUAAAUUCUGUGGACCAUGAGUAUGCUGAAUCUCAUGUGUCACUCUGGAAAGUUGACUGAUUUCUCACAGCUACUAUUUAUAUAAUAACUGUAUAGUAAAGUUUUUAGAGGUCCCUCAUGGCAAUGUACUCUGCUACUGUAUUAAAUAGGUUUAUCUGGAGAUUAUCAAAAACUCAAGAGUGAAAUCAUAGAGCUCCUUAAUAUACACUGCAGCCAACUAUAUUAAGUACAGAAACUUUUUUCUCCCACAUAAACCAUAUUUCUAAAUGUUUAGAGUUGUAUAUAAUCAUAGUGGCUAUUGUAAAAGGCAGAAUUCUCCUAUGAGGUAUUAAUGUUCUAUUUAUAAAUUAUUGUUUUCUAAAAUACAC